ensembl:ncRNA F02G3.8 ncRNA
UAAGAAGAGAGAGAGAGAAAAAGAAUAGGAAAAAAGAGAGCGGGGGUGUACUCUAACUACAACGUAAUUAGAAACAGGAAAACAAUUGAGAGUUAACUGCAGACGAGAACUCAU